rnacentral:tRNA from 1 species
GGAAGAAAAACUAGUGGGUUCUUAUUGUAUUUUCAACAAUAACGGGGGAAUAAUACAUCC